GACGAACCGUGCGAACGUUAUUCGGAAUUACUGGGCUUAAAGCGCGUGUAGGCGGCCGGCACGUCCGACGCUGAAAUCCCCCGGCUCAACCGGGGAAGUGGCGGGGAUACGACCGGCCUCGAGGGGGGUAGGGGGACCUGGAACUUCCGGUGGAGCGGUGAAAUGCGUUGAGAUCGGAAAGAACACCAACGGCGAAAGCACGUCUGCUGGGCCGACACUGACACUGAGAGACGAAAGCUAGGGGAGCGAAUGGG
rnacentral:rRNA from 1 species